GGUUAAGCGACUAAGCGUACACGGUGGAUGCCCUGGCAGUCAGAGGCGAUGAAGGGCGUGCUAAUCUGCGAUAAGCGCCGGUAAGGUGAUAUGAACCGUUAUAACCGGCGAUACCCGAAUGGGGAAACCCAGUGUGACUCGUCACACUAUCAUUAACUGAAUCCAUAGGUUAAUGAGGCGAACCGGGGGAACUGAAACAUCUAAGUACCCCGAGGAAAAGAAAUCAACCGAGAUUCCCCCAGUAGCGGCGAGCGAACGGGGAGGAGCCCAGAGCCUGAAUCAGCAUGUGUGUUAGUGGAAGCGUCUGGAAAGGCGCGCGAUACAGGGUGACAGCCCCGUACACAAAAGCGCAUGUGCUGUGAGCUCGAUGAGUAGGGCGGGACACGUGGUAUCCUGUCUGAAUAUGGGGGGACCAUCCUCCAAGGCUAAAUACUCCUGACUGACCGAUAGUGAACCAGUACCGUGAGGGAAAGGCGAAAAGAACCCCGGCGAGGGGAGUGAAAAAGAACCUGAAACCGUGUACGUACAAGCAGUGGGAGCCCCACCACUAAGCCAGUGGUGAACUCCACAUACGCAUCCUUUGCUGAGGAUACGGUUAACGGAGCGAAAGCGACGUUCAACCUCAAAAGAAGCAGAGGGGGCUUAGUGGUGGGGUGACUGCGUACCUUUUGUAUAAUGGGUCAGCGACUUAUAUUCUGUAGCAAGGUUAACCGUAUAGGGGAGCCGGAGGGAAACCGAGUCUUAACCGGGCGUUAAGUUGCAGGGUAUAGACCCGAAACCCGGUGAUCUAGCCAUGGGCAGGUUGAAGGUUGGGUAACACUAACUGGAGGACCGAACCGACUAAUGUUGAAAAAUUAGCGGAUGACCUGUGGCUGGGGGUGAAAGGCCAAUCAAACCGGGAGAUAGCUGGUUCUCCCCGAAAGCUAUUUAGGUAGCGCCUCGUGAAUUCAUCUCCGGGGGUAGAGCACUGUUUCGGCUAGGGGGUCAUCCCGACUUACCAACCCGAUGCAAACUGCGAAUACCGGAGAAUGUUAUCACGGGAGACACACGGCGGGUGCUAACGUCCGUCGUGAAGAGGGAAACAACCCAGACCGCCAGCUAAGGUCCCAAAGUCAUGGUUAAGUGGGAAACGAUGUGGGAAGGCCCAGACAGCCAGGAUGUUGGCUUAGAAGCAGCCAUCAUUUAAAGAAAGCGUAAUAGCUCACUGGUCGAGUCGGCCUGCGCGGAAGAUGUAACGGGGCUAAACCAUGCACCGAAGCUGCGGCAGCGACACUGUGUGUUGUUGGGUAGGGGAGCGUUCUGUAAGCCUGUGAAGGUGGCCUGUGAGGGUUGCUGGAGGUAUCAGAAGUGCGAAUGCUGACAUAAGUAACGAUAAAGCGGGUGAAAAGCCCGCUCGCCGGAAGACCAAGGGUUCCUGUCCAACGUUAAUCGGGGCAGGGUGAGUCGACCCCUAAGGCGAGGCCGAAAGGCGUAGUCGAUGGGAAACGGGUUAAUAUUCCCGUACUUGGUGUUACUGCGAAGGGGGGACGGAGAAGGCUAUGUUGGCCGGGCGACGGUUGUCCCGGUUUAAGCGUGUAGGUGUGUGUUCCAGGUAAAUCCGGUUCACUUUAACACUGAGGCGUGACGACGAGGCACUACGGUGCUGAAGCAACAAAUGCCCUGCUUCCAGGAAAAGCCUCUAAGCAUCAGGUAACAUCAAAUCGUACCCCAAACCGACACAGGUGGUCAGGUAGAGAAUACCAAGGCGCUUGAGAGAACUCGGGUGAAGGAACUAGGCAAAAUGGUGCCGUAACUUCGGGAGAAGGCACGCUGACACGUAGGUGAAGUGAUUUACUCACGGAGCUGAAGUCAGUCGAAGAUACCAGCUGGCUGCAACUGUUUAUUAAAAACACAGCACUGUGCAAACACGAAAGUGGACGUAUACGGUGUGACGCCUGCCCGGUGCCGGAAGGUUAAUUGAUGGGGUCAGCGCAAGCGAAGCUCCUGAUCGAAGCCCCGGUAAACGGCGGCCGUAACUAUAACGGUCCUAAGGUAGCGAAAUUCCUUGUCGGGUAAGUUCCGACCUGCACGAAUGGCGUAAUGAUGGCCAGGCUGUCUCCACCCGAGACUCAGUGAAAUUGAACUCGCUGUGAAGAUGCAGUGUACCCGCGGCAAGACGGAAAGACCCCGUGAACCUUUACUAUAGCUUGACACUGAACAUUGAGCCUUGAUGUGUAGGAUAGGUGGGAGGCUUUGAAGCGUGGACGCCAGUCUGCAUGGAGCCGACCUUGAAAUACCACCCUUUAAUGUUUGAUGUUCUAACGUGGACCCGUGAUCCGGGUUGCGGACAGUGUCUGGUGGGUAGUUUGACUGGGGCGGUCUCCUCCUAAAGAGUAACGGAGGAGCACGAAGGUUGGCUAAUCCUGGUCGGACAUCAGGAGGUUAGUGCAAUGGCAUAAGCCAGCUUGACUGCGAGCGUGACGGCGCGAGCAGGUGCGAAAGCAGGUCAUAGUGAUCCGGUGGUUCUGAAUGGAAGGGCCAUCGCUCAACGGAUAAAAGGUACUCCGGGGAUAACAGGCUGAUACCGCCCAAGAGUUCAUAUCGACGGCGGUGUUUGGCACCUCGAUGUCGGCUCAUCACAUCCUGGGGCUGAAGUAGGUCCCAAGGGUAUGGCUGUUCGCCAUUUAAAGUGGUACGCGAGCUGGGUUUAGAACGUCGUGAGACAGUUCGGUCCCUAUCUGCCGUGGGCGCUGGAGAACUGAGGGGGGCUGCUCCUAGUACGAGAGGACCGGAGUGGACGCAUCACUGGUGUUCGGGUUGUCAUGCCAAUGGCACUGCCCGGUAGCUAAAUGCGGAAGAGAUAAGUGCUGAAAGCAUCUAAGCACGAAACUUGCCCCGAGAUGAGUUCUCCCUGAGACUUAGAGUCUCCUGAAGGAACGUUGAAGACGACGACGUUGAUAGGCCGGGUGUGUAAGCGCAGCGAUGCGUUGAGCUAACCGGUACUAAUGAACCGUGAGGCUUAACCUU
rnacentral:rRNA from 1 species